UACGUAGGCAGCAAGCGUUGUUCGGAAUUACUGGGCGUAAAGAGUGUGUAGGCGGUGCUCUAAGUUCGGUGUGAAAUCUCCUGGCUCAACUGGGAGGGUGCGCCGGAAACUGCCGUGCUGGAGUGUGGGAGAGGUGCGUGGAAUUCCUGGUGUAGCGGUGAAAUGCGUAGAUAUCAGGAGGAACACCUGUGGCGAAAGCGGCUCACUGGACCAAUAACUGACGCUGAUGCACGAAAAGCUAGGGGGAGCAAACAGG
rnacentral:rRNA from 1 species